CUCAUACAACACUGGACCAAACGGUGCCUAUCAGGGAUCGUAUUAUGCGUACAUCGAGGCGUCUGCUCCACGUGUUUCUGGUGAUAGGGCUUUUCUGCGAAGCAACGAGAUAUUCCACGGAUCGAGUCUAUUGCUUUAAAAUGAACUAACACAUGCACUCUGGAUGUCAAUCAUAUGGGAAGUUUGCGUAUUAUGAUAAAGACCGGAACCAGAAGGCCAGUGACGCAAUGGGAAGUCUCCGGAAAUCAAGGAUUACUCUGGAGGAGUAUGCAAAUCAGUCUAAAGCUGGACUCUAAAACAAACGUAUCUUUUUUUAUCUUAUAUUUUAUUCCCUAAAUUUUCGUAGCUUUUGGUUUAUCAACAUCUUUUUUAGGCAAAAAGACUAUUCAUUUCUAGUUAAUUAAUUAUACAAUAAUAUAUGUUGGCGCCAAGUUUCAAAAAACGGAGGAUUUAAUAUACUUUUAGAUUUCCCAAGGAUCUCUUUAACAAUGACAAGUAAGAAGUGCAAAUUUAACCAAGAUAUACAAGUACUUUUUCAAAUCCUGUGAAUCUCUGUCCAUUAUGGCUGAAAAGCAAUUUUACCCCAUUAUAGAACGAUCCUUGUCGAAGGUGUUGUAGGAAACGGCUGGGCCGGAUACAUCGCUAUCGACAAUGUACGUCUGACUGGAUGUGCUUGUUGAUAGUCAACUUAGUAACUAUAAUGUCGGACAUGAGACGCCAGUUGAGAAUAAGAAGACCACUAAACUGAUUUUGU